rnacentral:rRNA from 1 species
GACGAACGCUGGCGGCGUGCUUAACACAUGCAAGUCUAGGGAGAAAGGGGUAGCAAUAUCCUGAGUAAACCGGCGCAAGGGUGAGUAACGCGUAGGCAAUCUACCGUAAGGAUGGGAACAACCCCGAGAAAUCGAGGCUAAUACCCAAUAUUGUCCGGAUUCAGCAUUGGAAUCGGAUGAAAGGUCGCAAGACGCCUUAUGAUGAGCCUGCGUCCCAUUAGGUAGUUGGCGGGGUAACGGCCCACCAAGCCGACGAUGGGUAGCUGGUCUGAGAGGACGAUCAGCCACACUGGAACUGAGACACGGUCCAGACUCCUACGGGAGGCAG